AGCGAACGCUGGCGGCAGGCCUAACACAUGCAAGUCGAACGAAGUCUUCGGACUUAGUGGCGGACGGGUGAGUAACACGUGGGAACGUACCUUUUGGUUCGGAACAACUCAGGGAAACUUGAGCUAAUACCGGAUGAGCCCUUCGGGGGAAAGAUUUAUCGCCAUUAGAGCGGCCCGCGUUAGAUUAGCUAGUUGGUGAGGUAAAGGCUCACCAAGGCUACGAUCUAUAGCUGGUCUGAGAGGAUGAUCAGCCACACUGGGACUGAGACACGGCCCAGACUCCUACGGGAGGCAGCAGUGGGGAAUCUUGCGCAAUGGGCGAAAGCCUGACGCAGCCAUGCCGCGUGAAUGAUGAAGGUCUUAGGAUUGUAAAAUUCUUUUACCAGGGACGAUAAUGACGGUACCUGGAGAAAAAGCCCCGGCUAACUUCGUGCCAGCCGCCGCAGUAAAAC
rnacentral:rRNA from 1 species